GACGAACGCUGGCGGCGUGCUUAACACAUGCAAGUCGAACGGAAAGGCCCUGCUUUUGUGGGGUGCUCGAGUGGCGAACGGGUGAGUAACACGUGAGUAACCUGCCCUUGACUUUGGGAUAACUUCAGGAAACUGGGGCUAAUACCGGAUAGGAGCUCCUGCUGCGUGUUGGGGGUUGGAAAGUUUCGGCGGUUGGGGAUGGACUCGCGGCUUAUCAGCUUGUUGGUGGGGUAGUGGCUUACCAAGGCUUUGACGGGUAGCCGGCCUGAGAGGGUGACCGGCCACAUUGGGACUGAGAUACGGCCCAGACUCCUACGGGAGGCAGCAGUGGGGAAUAUUGCACAAUGGGCGGAAGCCUGAUGCAGCAACGCCGCGUGCGGGAUGACGGCCUUCGGGUUGUAAACCGCUUUCGCCUGUGACGAAGCGUGAGUGACGGUAAUGGGUAAAGAAGCACCGGCUAACUACGUG
rnacentral:rRNA from 1 species